AACGAACGCUGGCGGCAUGCCUAACACAUGCAAGUCGAACGAGACCUUCGGGUCUAGUGGCGCACGGGUGCGUAACGCGUGGGAAUCUGCCCCUUGGUUCGGAAUAACUUCGGGAAACUGAAGCUAAUACCGGAUAAUGACGUAAGUCCAAAGAUUUAUCGCCAAGGGAUGAGCCCGCGUAGGAUUAGCUAGUUGGUGGGGUAAAGGCUCACCAAGGCGACGAUCCUUAGCUGGUCUGAGAGGAUGAUCAGCCACACUGGGACUGAGACACGGCCCAGACUCCUACGGGAGGCAGCAGUGGGGAAUAUUGGACAAUGGGCGAAAGCCUGAUCCAGCAAUGCCGCGUGAGUGAUGAAGGCCUUAGGGUUGUAAAGCUCUUUUACCCGGGUAAGAUAAUGACUGUACCGGGAGAAUAAGCCCCGGCUAACUCCGUGCCAGCAGCCG
rnacentral:rRNA from 1 species